rnacentral:lncRNA from 1 species
AACCAUAAUAAAACCCAAACUGGAAUUAUGAUGGUUGUGCGUGAACACUGGGAUUUUUGACAUGUUUCCAGCAUUAGCCAUGAUUUGGAGCCAGAGGCUUCUUUCUCCUAGCAGGUACAUUAUCACCUGUCUCAGCUUUCAAAAGAGUUUGAGCAUUACUUCCUAACCACAAAAGACCCCUAAAUUGAGAAGGAAUGGAUCCUCAACCCAUUCAUGAAUAAGCAAGGUGAAUUGACUCUGAACAUGCUAGAAGAGGAUCAACUAUUUGAGAUUGCAAGUUGUAACAGUCUUAAAAGUAUGUUGGAGACAAUUUCAAAUCUCUACACAUUCUGAAUUAAAGUUAAAGUGAAAUAUCCUGGAUGUUGCCACAGAAGCACUGAAAAUCCUGCUUUCAUUUCCAACAUUUUAACUUUGUGAAGCAAAGUUUUCUACACUGACAGCAGCCAAAACAAAAUUACAGAGCAGGCUGGACUUCUUUCUCUAGCCUGAUUGCCAUGGCUAAAAUUUUGAGGACUAUAUUGAACAGGAGUGGUAAUAAUACACAGCUUUGUCUUGUUCCUGAUCUGAACAAAGGAAAAAAAUUCAUGCAACUGGGUGAGUAGUGAAACUAAAAGGGAAAAAAUAAGAAAGUCCACAAUGAAAAAAUAAUGCAAUGACAGAAUCAGGAAAUACUUUUUGUAAUAACUCUCAUUGUACAUCAUUUUAACUCCCCAAUCAAAAUACAUAGAUUGGCAGAUUGGAUUUAAAAAAUCCAAUUAUAUGUUGGUUACACGGAUUUUUACCAAUUCCAUUUUGUCUUGAUUAAUGUAGCUUUUUAGUGAAUCUUGAAAUCAUAUCCUGUGAGACUUUUGACUUAAUUCUCCACAUCUAAAAUUGUAUUCACUAUUCUAGGUCCUUUGUAUUUCCACAUGAAUAACAAUAGAACACUAAGCAAUAAUAAAAAUGUAGUACUGACAUCUAAUAGAACAGAUAAAUCUCCAAUAUACGUAUUAACUUAACUGAAACAAGACAGACUCAUUAUUCCAUUUAUAUAACAUUGGAAAAACAAAAUUGUAGGAACAGGGAACAUACCAGUGCUUGCUAGAGGGGGAGUUUGAUUAUGAUGGGACAAGACAAAAGAGUUUUGGGGGUACAAGGAACUGUUCUAUAUCUGUGGUCAUAGGUACAUGGCUCUAUAUUUAUAAGAACUAAAGAUGAUGCAUAAUGAAAUGAGUGAAAUUUACUAUAUGUCAGUUAAAAUAACAAUUAAAAACUUAAAUAUAGUAUUUGUUAUUGUUCUUUUAUCUUUGUAUGUCCUCUUCAAGACUGAAAGAUCCAAGUGGGAGAAUCUGAUCGAUUGAAUCUAGUCGGUGCUAGGCUGGGACUUGCAAAGGUAGAGGGAGGC